UAGAACCGGCAGCUGAUUUCAAGCAGUUACAGGCAGCCUGACGAUCCGGCGUGGUGGUGGCGGCAGCAAGAAGCUUCUUCACUCCUGCACAGCAUGGCGGUGGAGGACUGGCAUUAUUAGGAGCUUGAAGAUAAGUAAGGCAUGGAGCCAAAUCACCGGAUACAGUUCCACAUGACAAAGCAGCUUCUGCCAUAAGCUUGAAGAUAAGUAAGGCAUGGAGCCAAAUCACCGGAUACAGUUCCACAUGACAAAGCAGCUUCUGCCAUAGGCGCAAUAACUACCAUGCACAUCACCAAAGCAACACAUGCUAAUUUCAUGCUUCUUGCCAUUUUUGUUUUCUUUGUUUUCUAUUCUUUUUCUUAGUUUGUUUGAAUGGUGUGUAAUGUCUUUGUGGGAGGGGGUUUAUAUAGAAAAUAAGAUAAGGUGUGAAGAUGAAUAGAGUGAUGAAUUUUUGGUGAAUGUGCAUCAAAAUUGGGUGGUAGUUGUGAGUUCAAUUAAUGAUGUAUGGUCCAUUAUCUAUAAUUAUUGGAAUUGGAUCUCUACAAUUUUUUCUUCUCAUGUCUUCUCUCAUGUGCAAUUAUGCAUGGUUGAAUCAAUCUAAUAGUUAAAAAAUAAUAAAGAUAAAAAAAUAUCAUUUAAAAAAAUAGAGAAACAUAUGUUUAAUUUUAUUUAAUUUUUUUUCAUUUAUAA
rnacentral:lncRNA from 1 species